GGCUGGUCCAAGUGCAGUGGCGUUUACAACUAAUUGAUCACAACCAGUUACAGAUUCCUUUGUUCCGUCUCCACUCUCACUGCUUCACUUGACUAGCCUAAG
ensembl:misc_RNA Y_RNA Y RNA